UUUCAGUGAGAGAUUUAUGUUUUAGCAUUUUCUGAUGGUCGAUUCUUUAGUAAGGUAUUCGGUGAACAAUCUGUUGAUGGUCAAUCACAGUCCGAUGGGGGUGUGAAUGAGGAAGAUGAUUCUGCUUUCAAGCAAACAACAAGUACUCUUACCUCUGAACGCAGAUGAGAUAGAAAUCAUGGAGUUGAUGAUCAGAAUCAAUUUGCACAAACUAUACAUCCAAGGAUCGAACGCCUUAUGCCCCUAAUAUAAUAACUGCUUAUGGCCUACCUUUGGCAUGUUAAUGACAGGGGUUCAUAUGAGCUCUUGCACUUGGGAGCUGCAACAUUUUCUCCUGAAGAUUUGGUGCCUUCUGAUAAUGAUUUAAUUGAUCAGAUUCUCGAGGUUCUAAACUAUUUUAGCUAUGAAUGGAAAACUGCCAAAUGACAUCUCAGAUAGACAUGUAUUGUUAUUAGAUCCUAUCUUGGGCAUAGAUGGAUGUCUUAUUGCCAAUUUGCAUGCUGAAUCAUGUAGACCGCUCUUGUUGGCCCAAAGGUAAAACCCUAACCUUCUAAUUCUUCAAAUCUCCAAUUCUUAAUGUUCAUUAUCUGGUUUUCAACUAUUCAUAAGCGAAUGUUCUUUUGCCCAAUGAAUCGUAAGUAUCAAAAUGGUCAAAGGUUGAACCGAGCUACGGAAAAAAGUUUACUGAAAGCAACAGGCAAAGAUAAGAACAUUACUUUUAUGAAGGGAGUAAAGAUUGGUAUGAAAAAGACUCUGAUUUUCCACAUUGGUCCUUGCUACAAAUAAGUCACCCGAUGGCACUCAUCGUGGUCAGGUUGGGACUUCUCCUAGUGCAUUUCUUUUCUGUUUGGAUAUUAGCAAUGACAUUUUCAUGUUAUCUUGGUUUGUGGUUGUUAAGAUUCUUAGCUUGUAGAAUGUUUGAUUGAUAUGUUAAUUUUUGCAUCAAAUAGUACGAUGAACUGUAGUUUGCUUUUAGUGAAUUUAAUGUGAUCAUUUAUUUAAAUUUGGCAUUGUACUCUAUUUAGUUAAAUAAGAUAAUGGGAUAUCAGCAUUAUGUAUGUAUGGUAUGUCUUUUGUUUAUCUUCUUGGUGUAAAUGAUUAUGUAUGCUUUUACCAGGAUUCCUUUGUACUCUGCCGCCUUUUUAAAAAGACUGAUAUCAAACAAGAAGAAAACGCUGGAAUUUCCAACGUUAAUGAAGUUGAAGAGAUUAUAUCAUCUCCUACUCCUAUGAUAGCCAAAACUCCUGCUGAAGAUGGAUAAUUGGAAUCAAUUAUUAAAAUGAUUUAGCUAUGGUUCUAACAUCAAUUAAAGGUUAAACGACACACCCUUUUUUUCCCUUCAGCCUCACCUAGAGCUGGAAAAAGCACUAGGUAGUUUGUGCUCUCCAAUGCUAGAGUCAUUGGAUUAAAAAAAAAAAUUUCCCCUUUGCAUUCAUAGAUAGAAACUAGCUUUGGAACCUUCAUCAAUAACAUCAAUUGCAAUGAUAGAGCUAACCCAUUUCAAUAUGGAACAAAUGUUGUUGAUGUUAAUGACUUCUUCAACUCGAUAUUUGUCAAUUUAGACGAGCAUCCCUAUGAGGAUUCGGGCAUAGAUGCAAUGUAUAUAAAAGAGGCUAACGUGCCCUCGUGGUACUAUAGAAGUCUAUUCAGAUCUCAAGAUCCAAACAAGCCAUGGCCUACUAUUCUUUGCUACAUGGUGGACCUAUAAGUCUGAUAGUUUGUAUUUAUUAACUUUUAUUUCAUGUUAAAGUUCACUCGUGCAAAUUUACAAAUUUGAAGAGGGUUGAAGCAAGUGAGACAUUCUGAGAUGUACUUAAUGGAAUACAUGGAUGUGCUCCACAUAGUUUCCCAACUCAUCAUUAAAGAUGUCAGUUGAUAUUAGAUACAUGUUCUCAAGAAUUCUUAUGUUCUCCUUUUCAUUUUCUUUUUGACGGAAUAUUCAAUAGUUACUUGCUGUGAUUAUCUAAUUUUAUGCUGAAUCAUCUUGCAAUUUGCGGGAAAGAUCUCAAGUUGAAAACUAACUAGAUACAUAGUGGAAGAAGUUCUAGAGGAAGCUGAGAGACUACGAUCGUUGAAGUAACUGUUGAAUAGAAUCAAGUGUGUCUAUACAUACUCACUACUGGGCACUAUGUCUACUUUGAGGAGUUGUGACAAUGUUGUGUUUCAAAAGAGAAGCUUCUGAUAAAUAUUGGCAAUGCGUCAUCCCAGGAGACUCAUGUUGUCAGGUUGCCUUGAGGCUUUAAUAGAAGAAGAAGCCUCUUAUAAAUUUGGAGACUCGGAUGCAAAUUACUCUAGGUUCUGCAAAUGGAUUGACAUAUCUGCAUGACACAAGUGUCAUUCUGGUUAUAUGAUAUUAGUCAAUCCAUAAAAUCUAAAUAUGCCAUGCCUCUAUUCAAGGCAGUUUUGGAAACUGUAGCUGGGGUCAAGCCAAAGAAAAAUGAGACCAAAACAAAUCCUUUAAACUUCAUCACGUUUUCAAACUGGACAAUGACAAUGGAGCAGAAGAGACCCCAACUUUGAUUGAUAGAAAGGUGAAAAUGGAACUAAGAAGCGUUCAUCUUGGUCCCUGUGAGUGGUGUGGCGGCAGGACUUCAGAGGGGGUAUUUGUUGGUGCAUUUCUCUCCAUGUCAUCUACAGCAGUGGUAUACGAGUUUUUGAUGGAGAAAAACGGUACUAAUGCCCUUCAUGGCCAAGUUACCAUUGGCACUCUCAUUUUGCAGGUAGUCCAAGGACUCUGUCGUAUGCGGAUUCUCUCCAUGGUGAUGUCAAAAUUCAUGUAUCCUUGGCAUGCAUGAGACUCCUUUCCUAUCUUCACUAACAGAGUGGCCUGUCUUGGCCUCUUCUAGUAAAUUAGUGAGCAGCCAAUGCAGCAUUUUGAGGAUUACUUCUUCAUAAGGUGUCUGGGCCAACUUACGUGCACUCUGACUAAUCCCACGAGGCCCUGAAGUUUACAGUUGGGUACUCACUUCAGUAGCAGUGAGGGGACUCGAACUAGUGAUCAUUGAAGAGCAAACCUAAGGCCUGACUACUAAGUUGCCUCUCAGGAUUUUAAGUUAAUAUCCUUCACUUCACUAUAUAGGCAAUUUUGACCAAAUACGUAGUGUUUUCGAAUGUGGGGCCAAGAAGCUCGAUCAAAUUCUUUUGCAACCAAGAGAUAAAGUUGUUGAUGAUGUCAAAGGAUUCUUCAGAAAUAUUUCUGCAUGACAUGGAUAUUUGGCCCUGGAGCUCAUUAGGGAUAAUGAAAGAUAUAUUGCGUGUUUGCAAUAUGCUCUGCAGAGUCAAAGGUUUGCUUUAUCUACACCAUUGCCUGAUCCUACUGCUGAUUCAGCAUUACUUGCUUCCACUUUUGGUUAUGAAGGGACGAAGCAAAAUACUAGAAGAAAUCCUAGUUUCCUUGAUACGAGUCGUAGAAAUGAGUUAACUCCCACUUCACGCGGAACAAGUUCUACAAGCAUUACUCGUGAAGUUAUGCAUGCACAAAGCAGAAUUUGAGGAAGAUCUCAAGCAUAUUCCUCAUCUCCUCAUUUUGUUGGAGAUGACAGUCAUGUCAGUGAUUCCACAAGUUCAAAUACAAAUCAAUUUGGAAUUGUAAUAGAAAUCUCGAUAUCAAACCUCUCUUUCUUCGGGCCCAAUUUGGGGAUUCUCAACGGAAGCCCAAGGUUCAAAAGUAGUGCCCGAAAAAGAAAGGUAAGAUAACAUUUUUGUUUAACUCUCUGGACCAUGGAAAAUACAUUAGGCUUCAGUUCAGAAAUUUUAGAAUGAAGGUUUAGUUGUACAAGAGAGUGAAAGGUGACGAUAUUAGAUGCUAACAAACGACAAAUCAAUCGGCAUGCAUACUUGUAUUUUCAUUUUCCUUUUUUUUUUGUGUGUCGAUUUAUGAGUCAUCAUUAACAUUUUGGGUGUGGUGACUCACUAAAAAGUGUGGUACAUAGCAUUGUGCAUAUCCCCUGUAGAUACAAUUGGCAUGACGUUGUACCAUAGACAAUAAAUCUCGACAUACAACUCUGUACUUGAAAUGUUACUUCUAGCAUCAAGAGAUUAGUCCUAUUUUCGUUCCAAGUUCAGCCAACUUUGUUUAUCUU